ACGUCGACCGGCGCACGGGUGAGUAAACGCGUAUCCAACCUGCCCUUUACUUGGGGAUAACCCGUUGAAAGACGGACUAAUACCCAAUGAUAUUCAUUGAUGACAUCUGAUUUGAAUUAAAGAUUUAUCGGUAUAGGAUGGGGAUGCGUCUGAUUAGCUUGUUGGUGAGGUAACGGCUCACCCAAGGCAACGAUCAGUAGGGGUUCUGAGAGGAAGGUCCCCCACAUUGGAACUGAGACACGGUCCAAACUCCUACGGGAGGCAGCAGUGAGGAAUAUUGGUCAAUGGACGAGAGUCUGAACCAGCCAAGUAGCGUGCAGGAUGACGGCCCUAUGGGUUGUAAACUGCUUUUGUUUGGGAAUAAUCGACAUUACGUGUAAUGUUUUGCAUGUACCAUUCGAAUAAGGACCGGCUAAUUCCGUGCCAGCAGCCGCGGUAAU
rnacentral:rRNA from 1 species